CAGCAGCCACGGUAAUACGUAGGCAGCGAGCGUUGUUCGGAAUUACUGGGCGUAAAGAGUGUGUAGGUGGUGCUCUAAGUUCGGUGUGAAAUCUCCCGGCUUAACUGGGAGGGUGCGCCGGAAACUGGAAUGCUCGAACGUGGGAGAGGAAAGCGGAAUUCCUGGUGUAGCGGUGAAAUGCGUAGAUAUCAGGAGGAACACCUGCGGUGUAGACGGCCUUCUGGACCAUUGUUGACGCUGAGAGACGAAAGCUAGGGGAGCAAACAGGAUUAGAUACCCGCGUAGUCCCUGUCUCUUAUAA
rnacentral:rRNA from 1 species